UAGACCAUAGUUUCAGUGAUCAUUUUUAUAGUUUGUUACUAGAGACAUUUCUCUGGCUAUGGAGAGCACCCAGAACCACAAGGAGGAGCCAAGCAUCCUUUCCUGAGCAUGAACUGGUUCUAGAUGUUGCUUUUGCAACUGUCUUUUACCACUGGUAAUUGUUCUCUCUUUCCUUGGAAGAGUGAGAGGGAGAUGAUGCAGUCUGAGUCA
ensembl:snoRNA U3 Small nucleolar RNA U3